CCAGGCCGGGACCGGACACAGGAGCAGGACCGCGCCCGGGGCCGCUUCCGCAGGGCAGCACAGAUGGUUUGCCAAUUCACCAGGUGCAUUUGGAGGGAAGAGACCAUCGCCAUGGGUGCUGGGGGCAUGGCAAACUCUGACCUCUGCAAUGCCGAGACCAGCGCUGCCCUGCUGGAUUUGCUUGUGGAGAAUGGUGUCUCCAGUGCCGAGAAAGUGCCAGCCUUCGUCAGGUACAUCCACCGGUGGCUCACGGCCAAUGUGUGUGCUGAGCGCAG